rnacentral:piRNA from 1 species
UCUGUUUGAUUUGAUUCUGGC